GAUGAACGCUGGCGGCGUGCCUAAUACAUGCAAGUCGAGCGAACAGACGCGGCUCUUGCUCCUCUGACGUUAGCGGCGGACGGGUGUGUCACACGUGUAUACCCUCCCUAUCUUACUGGUAUAACUUCGGGACACCGGCUCUAAUCCCGUAUAAUCUAUUGAUCCGCAUUGUUCAUUAGUGAAAGACGGUUUUGCUGUCACUUAUAGCGGCUUCCGCGCCGCUUUGGCUAGUUGGUAAGGUAACGGCUUACCAAGGCUACGAUGCGUAGCCGACGUGAGAGGGGGAUCGGCCACACUGGAGCUGAGCCACGGACAAGAGGCCUACGGGAGGCAGCAGUAGCGAAUCUUCCGCAAUGGGCGAAAGCCUGACAGAGCGACGCCGCGUGAGUGAUGAAGGUCUUCGGAUCGGAAAGCUCUGUUAUGAGGGAAGAACAAAUGUGUAAGUAACUAUGCCCGUCGUGACGGUACCGGAUCAGAAAGCCCCGGCUAACUACGUG
rnacentral:rRNA from 1 species